AGUGAACGCUGGCGGUAGGCCUAACACAUGCAAGUCGGACGGCAGCACAGUAAGAGCUUGCUCUUACGGGUGGCGAGUGGCGGACGGGUGAGGAAUACAUCGGAAUCUACUUUUUCGUGGGGGAUAACGUAGGGAAACUUACGCUAAUACCGCGUACGACCUACGGGUGAAAGCAGGGGAUCUUCGGACCUUGCGUGAUUGAAUGAGCCGAUGUCGGAUUAGCUAGUUGGCGGGGUAAAGGCCCACCAAGGCGACGAUCCGUAGCUGGUCUGAGAGGAUGAUCAGCCACACUGGAACUGAGACACGGUCCAGACUCCUACGGGAGGCAGCAGUGGGGAAUAUUGGACAAUGGGCGCAAGCCUGAUCCAGCCAUACCGCGUGGGUGAAGAAGGCCUUCGGGUUGUAAAGCCCUUUUGUUGGGAAAGAAAAGCAGCAGGUUAAUACCCCGCUGUUCUGACGGUACCCAAAGAAUAAGCACCGGCUAACUUCGUG
rnacentral:rRNA from 1 species